GUGGGGAAUAUUGGACAAUGGGGGGAACCCUGAUCCAGCCAUGCCGCGUGUGUGAAGAAGGCCUUUUGGUUGUAAAGCACUUUAAGCGAGGAGGAGGCUACCGAGAUUAAUACUCUUGGAUAGUGGACGUUACUCGCAGAAUAAGCACCGGCUAACUCUGUGCCAGCAGCCGCGGAAAUACAGAGGGUGCAAGCGUUAAUCGGAUUGACUGGGCGUAAAGCGCGCGUAGGUGGCCAAUUAAGUCAAAUGUGAAAUCCCCGAGCUUAACUUGGGAAUUGCAUUCGAUACUGGUGGGCUAGAGUAUGGGAGAGGAUGGUAGAAUUCCAGGUGUAGCGGUGAAAUGCGUAGAGAUCUGGAGGAAUACCGAUGGCGAAGGCAGCCAUCUGGCCUAAUACUGACACUGAGGUGCGAAAGCAUGGGGAGCAAACAGGAUUAGAAACCCGAGUAGUCC
rnacentral:rRNA from 1 species